rnacentral:rRNA from 1 species
ACUCAGUCUGGCCUGCCCGCUGACAAUACGUUGUUGAAGAGCCGCGGUAUCUGUAACCGUGCGAAGGUAGCAUAAUCAGUUGUCUUUUAAUUGAAGGCUGGUAUGAACGGUCGAACGAGAAGCUAGCUGUCUCUCUAGUGAAAGUUGAAGUUUACCUUUAAGUGAAAAGGCUUAAAUAUUACGAGGGGACGAUAAGACCCUAUAAAGCUUCACGAUUACUCUAGUUGUCCCCGAACUGUGGUAUAAGGGGGGCAGGGAAUGGGUGUCGUUGCGUUGGGGCGGCGAGAAUAUAAUGUAGUAACUGUUCUUGGAAUAAAACGGCUAGUGGCCGGGCGAGAUGACCCUUUAUUAAGGAUCAUAGGAUUAAGUUACUUUAGGGAUAACAGCGUUAUUUCCUUUGAGAGUUC